rnacentral:lncRNA from 1 species
UCACGGGGAGAUGAUCUGGGCUAGUGGGCCUAUAGUGUGGAAGUGGAAGGUGCUAUGGGGAUUGAUUGAGGAUAGGGAAAUAUGGAGGCCUGGUUGGUGUUUCGAUAUGGGCAGUGUUUGGUUUAGAUCGAGGUGGACGGUUCUAUUUUUAUAGGAAAGAAAUGUAAUGAAAUGGUUCUAUUUUUUUAUAUCUUAAAAACCAAACACUUAGAUCACUGGUUCUACCUGGAACCAAUUCAUUCCUACAUUUUUGAGAAAUGAGAUGGUUAGGCAUGUUGAGAA